rnacentral:rRNA from 1 species
GGGUUGUGAGGUUAAGCGACUAAGCGUACACGGUGGAUGCCCUGGCAGUCAGAGGCGAUGAAGGGCGUGCUAAUCUGCGAUAAGCGCCGGUAAGGUGAUAUGAACCGUUAUAACCGGCGAUACCCGAAUGGGGAAACCCAGUGUGACUCGUCACACUAUCAUUAACUGAAUCCAUAGGUUAAUGAGGCGAACCGGGGGAACUGAAACAUCUAAGUACCCCGAGGAAAAGAAAUCAACCGAGAUUCCCCCAGUAGCGGCGAGCGAACGGGGAGGAGCCCAGAGCCUGAAUCAGCAUGUGUGUUAGUGGAAGCGUCUGGAAAGGCGCGCGAUACAGGGUGACAGCCCCGUACACAAAAGCGCAUGUGUUGUGAGCUCGAUGAGUAGGGCGGGACACGUGGUAUCCUGUCUGAAUAUGGGGGGACCAUCCUCCAAGGCUAAAUACUCCUGACUGACCGAUAGUGAACCAGUACCGUGAGGGAAAGGCGAAAAGAACCCCGGCGAGGGGAGUGAAAAAGAACCUGAAACCGUGUACGUACAAGCAGUGGGAGCACAGGUUUACCUGUGUGACUGCGUACCUUUUGUAUAAUGGGUCAGCGACUUAUAUUCUGUAGCAAGGUUAACCGUAUAGGGGAGCCGUAGGGAAACCGAGUCUUAACCGGGCGUUAAGUUGCAGGGUAUAGACCCGAAACCCGGUGAUCUAGCCAUGGGCAGGUUGAAGGUUGGGUAACACUAACUGGAGGACCGAACCGACUAAUGUUGAAAAAUUAGCGGAUGACCUGUGGCUGGGGGUGAAAGGCCAAUCAAACCGGGAGAUAGCUGGUUCUCCCCGAAAGCUAUUUAGGUAGCGCCUCGUGAAUUCAUCU